UUUUGUUACUCUUGACUAUAGUAGGCUCUGUUCAGUUUACAUAACAUUGUUGUGGGAAUUAUUGUUCAAGCCUUUGAAUGGGGGUAGACUUGUUUGCAUGCUGAAAAAUAUAUCACCAUAGUAACCCUUCUCAUUCAAUACUGAAAGAGCUCGUUGAGAGCUUGGCUGAGUUGGUUAAAAUAGGAAACACACGUAAAAUAUCUUUGAAGCUUUAACUUCCGUAUAGACAUAGCAUGUCACAUAUAUGCGUAAAAAAUGAAGAAAAAUUCCCAGGCUUGGCUACAUACACUGCGAAAGAAGAGCCAGGCCCGGGAUGCGGCGGUAUGUCCUUCCUCCUCCCCGCCCAGGUGACGGAACUCCCUCACAGAGAAGCCGUCCUUAGCAUGACCUCCACUCCCGAUAACGGCCUCCUCCUGCUGGGCCAGGACGGCCUGCUCUCCCUCUGGUCUCCGACACUCCGGCUCAGAAAAACCAGAGCACUUCUUGAAGAAAACAAACAACCAGCCAGAACACCCAAGUGGAUUGCAGACACAACGUUGAUGCCGCAGUAUAACAAACUUGUUAUCGGAACUUGGUGAGCAUUGUCAGUACUCUGAAUGUCAGUUAUACUGUACUUCAUAAAGAGCUUCAUCGAAAAAUGAGGGAAUGCACCUUUCACAGUGGGAGACAGAGCAGAAAGGCUGAUUCUUUUUCAAACAGUCCAAUUUGCACAGCUUUGAAGUAGCAGUUCCUAAUGGGGUACUGGGGACCUAAAUACAUUCUGGUUUUCCUUUCAGUAAAGCUCAUUACCUUGUUCAGUCCUUAGUUGACCUAACAAGUUGCUUGAUGGGGAGUCUUUGCAAAUUGUGUUUCUACUCAAAAGUUAGAUAUACAAUGCAACCAUUACAUCACAACCGCCAACAUGUUUGCGCACUGAAAGUGUUCAAAUCAAUUCUGUUAUUAGCUAAAUUAAGGUUAUGAUUAAUUAUGUAACACUCAGAGUGAAAACCAGCAAGUUUAUGCAUCCCAGAACCUGAACUAGGAACUCGUGGUGUAAAGGGGUAGUAAAUGCUUUAUGUGUAAUGCAAGUUAUUGCAUAGAUACAAUAUUACAGGAAAUAUUUUAUACUUCCCAAAUUUAUGUCUACUGUAUGCAAUUAAUCAAAUUAAAUCUAUUUGCUCUCCAUCACAUCCAAGAAAGGAAUCAUUACUGAAGUUCUGUCAUACAAAACAUCCCUGUUCCUCUGAGCUCGAUAGACCAUUACGACCAGUUAUGCCAAGCAUGAGUAGUACCCCUAGUAGAGCUUUACAUAAAAAAAAUAUUGACAGCAAAAUGUGUGCCUUACAAGUGGUAUACCAGAAUAAUAUGAGACUCUGAGACUUUAUGACUGGCAUCAGUGAA
rnacentral:lncRNA from 1 species